rnacentral:rRNA from 1 species
UACGUAGGGGGCAAGCGUUGUCCGGAAUCAUGGUGCGUAAAGCGCGUGUAGGCGGCUCGGUAAGUCCGCUCUGAAAAGUCCAGGGCUCAACCUGGGAUGCGGGUGGAUACUGCCGGGCUCGAGUCCGGAAGAGGCGAGUGGAAUUCCCGGUGUAGCGGUGAAAUGCGCAGAUAUCGGGAGGAACACCAAUGGCGAAGGCAGCUCGCUGGGACG